GUGUUGAGUCCGAGCUGGGGAAAAAGAACAUUUCUGCAAUGGAAAAGGACAUAUCUUCAUUCAAGUUGGGUUACGUAUAGGAGGACUGACCAAAAUAUGAAAAUAUAUUAAGGAUACUAGAAGCCCGUUUUCUAUCAGGAAAGCAAGUGACAAAUAUCGAAAGGGAGAACACUAGAACAAACCUUGUAAUGCUGGAUUAAAAUGGGAAGUAUCAGCAUCAACUCACAGUUUUUAAUAAAUAAAUAUACACAUGAUUUAGGAAUACAGAUGUCAGUGUGUGUAUAUUCACCUGCACACACACAAACAUUCACAACACUUAGUUCCUAGCUCUUUCCACUGAGAAACCAGGGAACAGUGAUAUUCCAAUAACAGCAUAUAUAAUUUCUAGGUCUCCAUUUCUAAACACCAUUCUUCAAAAAAAGGAAGCUGGGUCAGGUAUUGAGCCUGGAACAUCUUGUUAUAUGGAGGGAUAAUACUGGGACAACGGGUGAAACUUGAAAGGGGUCUGAGAAUUAGAUAUUGUAAUUUAUCAAUGUUCGGUUGCUAUGAGAAAAUCUGUUUCUAAGAACUAUACAUGAACCUACUUGGAAGUGAUAGGACUUAAGGUCAGCAACUUACUCUCAAAUACUUCAGAGAAGAAAAAAAUUCCUUGUAACUUUUUUUUUUUUUUUU
rnacentral:lncRNA from 10 species